AGUCUGAUGGAGCAACGCCGCGUGAGUGAAGAAGGGUUUAGGCUCGUAAAGCUCUGUUGGUAGUGAAGAAAGAUAGAGGUAGUAACUGGCCUUUAUUUGACGGUAAUUACUUAGAAAGUCACGGCUAACUACGUGCCAGCAGCCGCGGUAAUACGUAGGUGGCAAGCGUUGUCCGGAUUUAUUGGGCGUAAAGCGAGUGCAGGCGGUUCAAUAAGUCUGAUGUGAAAGCCUUCGGCUCAACCGGAGAAUUGCAUCAAAAACUGUUGAACUUGAGUGCAGAAGAGGAGAGUGGAACUCCAUGUGUAGCGGUGGAAUGCGUAGAUAUAUGGAAGAACACCAGUGGCGAAGGCGGCUCUCUGGACUGCAACUGACGCUGAGGCUCGAAAGCAUGGGUAGCGAACAGGAUUAGAUACCCUGGUAGUCCAUGCCGUAAACGAUGAGUGCUAAGUGUUGGGAAGUUCCCGCCUCUCAGUGCUGCAGCUAACGCAUUAAGCACUCCGCCUGGGGAGUACGACCGCAAGGUUGAAACUCAAAGGAAUUGACGGGGGCCCGCACAAGCGGUGGAGCAUGU
rnacentral:rRNA from 1 species